UAAAUCACUAAAAUAUUAAUAUAAUAGUUUCUCUUGAAUGUGUACAUUUAAUCAGCACGUUCAUCCAUACAGAGCAAUAUUUGACUGAUAUAUUAAUUUUUGUUUCUUUUUCUCCCUCUUCCUUGUGUGUAAUCAGAUCAUUGGUUCUGCUCUUAUUUAUUGCCAUCUAGUCCUGUUUGCAGAAUUAACUGUGGCUCCAGCCAUUAAGCAGACCUGAACCAGUUGAUGAAGGUCUUCAGGAUCACCAGAAACUACAGGCAGGUGUGUGAGAAAGUUGGAGCUACAUACUGCAGGACGUUGGUCCUCCAUGACCAGGACUGGACACCACUGUUGUCUAAGCCAGCCACAGUGGAUACAGUGAAGCCACAAACACAGUUCAUAGUUCUUGUAUUUCUAUUACACAUUAAAUAAUAAAAAAUAUCAUGUUAA